AGGCUUUGAUCCUGGCUCAGGAUGAACGCUGGCGGCGUGCCUAACACAUGUAAGUCGAGUGAUUUUUUUAGGAGAAGAGCGGCGGAUGGGUGAGUAACGCGUGGGUAACCUGCCCUGUACACACGGAUAACAUACCGAAAGGUAUGCUAAUACGGGAUAAUAUAUUUUGAUGGUAUCAUCGAAAUAUUAAAGUUUUGGCGGUACAGGAUGGACUUGUGUCUGAUUAGUUAGUUGGUGAGGUAAUGGCUCACCAAGGCGACGAUCAGUAGCCGACCUGAGAGGGUGAUCGGCCACAUUGGAACUGAGACACGGUCCAAACUCCUACGGGAGGCAGCAGUGGGGAAUAUUGCACAAUGGGCGAAAGCCUGAUGCAGCAACGCCGCGUGAGCGAUGAAGGCCUUCGGGUCGUAAAGCUCUGUCCUCAAGGAAGAUAAUGACGGUACUUGAGGAGGAAGCCCCGGCGUA
rnacentral:rRNA from 1 species